AACCGUCUGCAGCGGGGCAGCGUUACGUCCAAGAGGAAUGGAGCUUGUCUCCUCGGUUGGCGCAUAUAUUAAUGGGGGAAAAACAUAAUCGCCACAUCGCGGUGCGGAAAGGGAGCGGCGGCACAUCAUCAUCGGCACACCGGAGAGCCGGAGAGAAUAUCUCGUCUCGUCUCGUCUCGUCUUCGGGGCAGUUUCGAGGCUCGACGUCGGUCGUAGUUUACUCGUCGAGGCGACAAUGGUCUUCGGGGUACGGAGAGGAGGCGAUUCCGGUCGGUCUUUCUCCCUCCCCCCCCGUAAUUUUCCCCCCGGGGCUGUCGUAUUCGCAUUCGUCUACGUCUUGCUUGCGAUAAAGUGCGUGGUGGUGACCCUCGCGUGCGCGAAACGAUCGCCGUUCUACAAACGCGGAAUCAGAUGUUAUCGGGGUCAAAAAUUUCGGGGGCUCCUGCUGCUGCUGCUGCUGCUGGCAUACGGAAACGCGAUACAACGUCGAGUGUGACACGUGAUAAAAAGAAAAAAAAAUCAAAUAAAUAAAAAUAAAAGAAAUUUUGUACGAACGAACGUAACGGAGUAAAAUAAAAUCGAAUCGUGUGGUUAUCACCGUGGUAUUACGUGUUGCGCGUAAUUUUGCAUUAUCGUUUGCACUCGAACGCAACGUGUACAACAAUUUCCGUGCUAUAUGAGAAAAGUUCAACCCUUCUACUGUACCAAUACGUGGAUACGGCGUAACUGAUGUGCGUGUGUAUGAGAUAGAGAAAAAAAUUUUCAACGAUUUUAUUUCUUCGAAAUUAAAGUGACAUUGUGACGAUCGGUACGAUCAACGAUGGACUUCGGAAUGGUCCGUUUCUUCCGCUUCACCACCGCGGAUUUCGGGUUCGCGGUGAAAAAAAAAUUUUCGGCGUAACCGAACGAGGCGGACAACCGUAGGGAUGAUUGUACGAGUGACUCGAUCUCGAUUUCGAACCAUACGAUAUGUGUGUGGUACCGCUACCGGAGCGCACAGCGUCGAUACACAACUAGCGGUACAACGUAAGUUGCGUUGACUGCGAAGCGAUCGAGACCUUGGCGGAUGUUUUGAUUACGUAGUUUUACAUCGAUCUUUACGUACACAACGCGGCGAAGCUCGACUAUCGGCGAGAGGAAAGCGGUUCCUCCGCGGUACGCGGGGAAGGUGGUUGUGCAGGAGGAUAGAGCCGCCUCUCGGUUACGCCCACCUCCGCGAGGGACUCGAACGAGGCCGCAUUACGUUAUACGUACGUACGUACGUACGUACACGUUCGCCUUUCGCGCUGGACGUACGUAAGUACGAGUCGAGAGAAAAAAAAAAAAGGAAAAAAACGAGAAAACCGAAAAGAAAAAGAACGAAGAAAAAAAAGAAAAAGAAAAAAGAAAAAAACAGCCCGCAGGCGUGUACGAGCACCGAGCCGAUCCGAGGCAAAGGUUUAAGUGAGGGGAAGGUAGGAGGCAAGGCGAGGAGGGUACCCCACACGGGGAUAGAGCCGCCGCCGCCGCCGAAGACGAGGUCGCUCGACGAGCGACUUACACCGAGAGCUGCGUGAAGCCCCCGUGUGCCGUGCCCGUGUUCGUGCGUGCAUGGUCGUUUAAUGGACCCAGCUAAUGACUAUUGGCCGCCGUCCUGGGCGGGACUCGCCUUGUGCACAACGAGCACGAACUCACAAACUUUCGACCGUAUAUAUAUAACACACUCGACCGUAUACGGUUGUGUGAGCUGCAACUGGAACGAGACCUGCAGGUGAUGAGUCUCUGCUGGAGGAAGAUCGGCCCCCGGAGCACGUGAAACCUGCGCUCCGAAGCAAUCAGUUUGGGCCAAUCUCGAGACUGCUAAUCACGGAACGUUAUAAUUGCCCCGCGUAUAUAACCACAUAGGCCGAAACUCGAACGUUGAUUUUUUAUUUUCUCUAUUUUGUGCUCUCUCUCUCUCUCUCUCUCUCUCUCUCUCUCGAAGAUCGGUCUCUGUAUGGAACGUUUGAGAUAAUAUUAUAAUCGGAGACAAUUAAAGCGUCCUGACUAAAAGAAAGAAAAAAAAAAAAAGAAAAAAAGAAAUGUAAAACGAAAAAGAUGAGAAAAAGAAAACCGGAUAGGAAUAUCUAUUGUUAGAAUCGAUUUAUAAAUGUGUUUGUAGGUAUAAAUCAGGAAGAGAUUACAGGAGAAAGAAGAAACUAUAUAAUACGAGUAUAUAUUAAAAAUGGCUGGUAUACAUA